UACGUAGGGUGCAAGCGUUGUCCGGAAUUAUUGGGCGUAAAGAGCUCGUAGGCGGUUUGUCGCGUCUGCUGUGAAAACGCGAGGCUCAACCUCGCGCCUGCAGUGGGUACGGGCAGACUAGAGUGUGGUAGGGGAGAUUGGAAUUCCCGGUGUAGCGGUGAAAUGCGCAGAUAUCGGGAGGAACACCGGUGGCGAAGGCGGUUCUCUGGGCCUGUACUGACGCUGAGGAGCGAAAGCGUGGGGAGCAAACAGG
rnacentral:rRNA from 1 species